GUUCUGAGCGGUUACGGUUUUUUUGGUUUUACUCAAAUCUGUAUCGAGUGGUUCAGCAACACGCUUGUAGCUGUUUAUUUUAUUUUCUUUUUUUUUUUUUCUUGUGGUGAAAAUUUGUAUAUCGACAGCGGCUUUCUUACGUGAAAAACGGAAAAGCAUCCGCGCGGCGGGCGGAAGGACACGUUUGAAGGUGACGAAUGCGAGGACAGCCUAAUGGCUGCGCCCGCGCCAGUGGAACGACUGUGAUGAUAACGGGGAGUGUGAGCGCCUUUCUCUCUAGUACGUUUUGAUAAAUCACACAUGAAUAUUGAAAAGGCGUGCGUGCUGUUUAUACUGCGCUAACGAAGAUGAAUAUGAAGGACAUUACGAAGUGGAAUGCCCGGGUGUCCCUGGUCUACGCCAUUGGCAUUUGGACCAUGUUUGGGGCUUUUGGCUACUAUCAAAUGACUCGACCACAGCCCAGUAAAAAGGACGAACAGCAGAACUUGAGUGACACCAUCCCCGAAAAAGAACUGAAAAAUGCUACAGUGGAGGAAAGGAAAGCAAGAGGCAUCACAAGCACAAUUGUUUACCGGGAAGAAUUUGUGCCUUAUUCUGAAAGGAUUUUAAAUUUUAUCAAGUCAUUAGCCAAAAAUAGAGAGGCAACAGAAAGCCAAACCAGUCAGAAGUAGGCAUUGCAGAAAUCGCGUUUGUAUUUUUUGUUCUGUUUUGCAUUUGUUGUCUUUUUUUUUUUUUUUUUUUUUUUUUUUAAAUUUUCCAACUAAUUCCUAGAUGGAUUUCCACUUCUUUUACUUUGUGACCACACUGAAUCUUAAAUUUUUCAUGUGAUCCCCUGUCAGGGGCCAGGGACUGUGCAGUCUUUUCUGUCAAGUGUGACUCUUGGAAAACUGGGAAAGAUGGGGUUUAUAUGGUUGAUCCAAAUUCCAUCUGAGCACUGUUUCUAUUUAUUAAACUGGGCAAAAUGUAUUAGUCUCUGGAAAAUGCUCUACUAUAACCACCCUUCAUUUUGAUUGUUUUCUCUACCAAAUUUCUGUCGAUGCUCACAUUUAUUAGAAUGAUUUAAAUACCCUGAAGUUGAGUUAACUGUGGAAUGCACAUUAAAGCUUGAAGUAUGGUCUCUUUUUUUCCAUCUUUGCUUCCACACAGAAAUGUAGUGAUAUGAUGGAAAGUAUAGGUGGUUUAUAAAGAACUGUCAUCCUUGUAACCAAUGAGAAAUAAUGCAAAAAAAUUUUACAUAUACAUACUUUACAAAAGUUUUCAUCUUGCUUUCUGCUGUUAAGUUAGCAAGUGCAUAUAUGAAAAUAUUUUCAUAUAAGAAGGAAAUCAUUUUAUCCAGUGAAGUUUCUGUGAUGGUUUGUUUUUCAGUAUAAAGCGAUGAUCAUAGUAGACCAUGUUCUGGCUAAUGUUUAUGUACAGAAAUAUCAGAAAUUACAUAUUUGGGUUUGAUUUCCAUGUGUUUACAACAGCAAAACUGAAAAACAGUAAAGGUAAUAUUGUAUCUAUAGGUACUAAUAGUAAAUGUUUUUCCAUAAACUGUAGGACAUAGUGGUAAACUACCAAUCACAAACACUGAGCUAUAAUAGAGCUCAUUCUUUUGGGUGGAAAAGUAUAGCACUGAUGCAUGGGAAUAUUUAAUAGUACACUGCAUCUCCAAGUGAGCUUGUUUUUGGC
rnacentral:lncRNA from 1 species